rnacentral:rRNA from 1 species
UACCAGCACCCCGAGUGGUCGGGACGUUUAUUGGGCCUAAAGCAUCCGUAGCCGGUUCUACAAGUCUUCCGUUAAAUCCACCUGCUUAACAGAUGGGCUGCGGAAGAUACUAUAGAGCUAGGAGGCGGGAGAGGCAAGCGGUACUCGAUGGGUAGGGGUAAAAUCCGUUGAUCCAUUGAAGACCACCAGUGGCGAAGGCGGCUUGCCAGAACGCGCUCGACGGUGAGGGAUGAAAGCUGGGGGAGCAAACCG